UGUGUUCUUCCAAUCUUUUAUUUUUUACAUUCACUGGAAAGCUUUGCAAAUAAGCAAUAACAGUAUAAUUUGUCAUCUUAUAAUUACCGAUAACAUAGCUCCAUUUAAUUUGUGUGGGAUUCAUUAAAAUUCACAUGACCGAUUACAGGCGUGCAACAGUUUAUAUACCAUUAUCUGGAAAAGUAAUUGGCAGUGAGAGAGCUCAUUAAGUAUUAAAAGCAGGGAACCUAUAGCCUUGGCUCUCGGGUCACACCUUGCACCAAAAUUAAUGGGGCAGAUGUGAUUACAUUAAUGUGGAUGAGAUUGGACUUGUAAUAUAAAUUGCACCCAACAAACAUUUAGUCAUAUCCAAUUUUGCCAUCACAUUAAGUUUAGUUGUUAAGAGCCCAAACUAUUCUGUUACUGUUUAUUGGGCCGAGAUUAUUUCCUCAUAAGAGUGUGUCAUUUUGAAGCGUGUUGUUUCUCCGUAAGUGUUUGGCACAAAAAUAAAGGUAACAAUCA